rnacentral:rRNA from 1 species
UGGGGAAUUUUGCGCAAUGGGGGAAACCCUGACGCAGCAACGCCGCGUGAGUGAUGAAGGCCUUCGGGUCGUAAAGCUCUGUCAGAGGGAAAGAAGUGCGAGAGGGUUAAUACCCCUUUUGCUUGACGGUACCCUCAAAGGAAGCACCGGCUAACUCCGUGCCAGCAGCCGCGGUAAUACGGAGGGUGCGAGCGUUGUUCGGAAUUAUUGGGCGUAAAGCGCGUGUAGGCGGUCUUUUAAGUCUGAUGUGAAAGCCCCGGGCUCAACCUGGGAAGUGCAUUGGAAACUGGGAGACUUGAAUACGGGAGAGGGUAGUGGAAUUCCUAGUGUAGGAGUGAAAUCCGUAGAUAUUAGGAGGAACACCGGUGGCGAAGGCGGCUACCUGGACCGAUAUUGACGCUGAGACGCGAAAGCGUGGGGAGCAAACA